GCCGGAGGAUGCAAUCGUUAUCCGGAAUUAUUGGGCGUAAAGGGUGCGUAGGUGGUCAGACAAGUCCCAUGUCAAAGCAUGGUGCUUAACGCCACAAAGGCGUGGGAAACUGUGUGACUAGAGUACAGCAGGGGCAGGAGGAAUUCCCGGUGUAGCGGUGAAAUGCGUAGAUAUCGGGAAGAACACCAGUGGCGCAGGCGUUCUGCUGGGCUGUGACUGACACUGAGGCGCGAAAGCUAGGGGAGCGAAAGGG
rnacentral:rRNA from 1 species